rnacentral:antisense_RNA from 1 species
CUUGAGGGAGCCCAGCCGGAGCGGGCUGCCCGCCGGGCGGUUCUGGCCGUACGUGGCGAGCAGGGCCUGGGCCUC